UGCGUAGGCGGCCUGACAAGUUGGGUGUGAAAUACCUCGGCUCAACCGAGGAACAGCGCUCAAAACUGUCAGGCUUGAGGGAGAUAGAGGUGAGCGGAACUUAAGGUGGAGCGGUGAAAUGCGUUGAUAUCUUAAGGAACACCCGUGGCGAAAGCGGCUCACUGGAUCUCUUCUGACGCUCAUGCACGAAAGCUAGGGGAGCAAACGGGAUUAGAUACCCCGGUAGUCCUAGCCGUAAACGAUGAGCACUGGGUUGGAGGCCCCUUCAUAGGCUUCCGGCCGAAGCGAAAGUGUUAAGUGCUCCGCCUGGGGAGUAUGGUCGCAAGGCUGAA
rnacentral:rRNA from 1 species